CCUACGGUGAGCAGCAGUGAGGAAUAUUGGUCAAUGUACGAGAGUCUGAACCAGCCAAGUAGCGUGACGGAUGACUGACCUAUGGGUUGUAAACUUCUUUUAUAAAGGAAUAAAACGAGGCACGUGUGCCUUUUUGCAUGUACUUUAUGAAUAAGGAUCGGCUAACUCCGUGCCAGCAGCCGAGGUAAUACGGAGGAUCCGAGCGUUAUCCGGAUUUAUUGGGUUUAAAGGGAGCGUAGAUGGGUUGUUAAGUCAGUGGUGAAAGUUUGCGGCUCAACCGUAAAAUUGCAAUUGAUACUGGCAGUCUUGAGUACAGUUGAGGUAGGCGGAAUUCGUGGUGUAGCGGUGAAAUGCUUAGAUAUCACGAAGAACCCCGAUUGCGAAGGCAGCUUACUAAACUGUGACUGACAUUGAUGCUCGAAAGUGUGGGUAUCAAACAGGAGUAGAGACCCUAGUAGUC
rnacentral:rRNA from 1 species